UCAUGUUUUGGUGGCAUACUCACCGUUGUUUAUUUCUUUAGGAAUUUCAUCAUAACUAAGAAAACACCAAGUCACCCCUAUAACACUCGAUCCAGAAAAAUGGAUAAUGAAGAGGGCAUGCAGGAACAGAUGAAGGUCGAUCUAUCGGCUUUAAAAGAUCAAAUGGCUUCCAUCUCGGAGGUCAUGUUAAAACUCCAGAAAAUUAUAGAGGAUAAAGCCACGACAACCGCCUCCAGUACAGUUAGGGAAGCGGAGCCGGUGC
rnacentral:lncRNA from 1 species